rnacentral:rRNA from 1 species
AGUGAACGCUGGCGGUAGGCCUAACACAUGCAAGUCGAACGGCAGCACAGUAAGAGCUUGCUCUUACGGGUGGCGAGUGGCGGACGGGUGAGGAAUACAUCGGAAUCUACUUUUUCGUGGGGGAUAACGUAGGGAAACUUACGCUAAUACCGCAUACGACCUACGGGUGAAAGCAGGGGAUCUUCGGACCUUGCGCGACUGAAUGAGCCGAUGUCGGAUUAGCUAGUUGGCGGGGUAAAGGCCCACCAAGGCGACGAUCCGUAGCUGGUCUGAGAGGAUGAUCAGCCACACUGGAACUGAGACACGGUCCAGACUCCUACGGGAGGCAGCAGUGGGGAAUAUUGGACAAUGGGCGCAAGCCUGAUCCAGCCAUACCGCGUGGGUGAAGAAGGCCUUCGGGUUGUAAAGCCCUUUUUUUGGGAAAGAAAAGCAGCAGGUUAAUACCCCGCUGUUCUGACGGUACCCAAAGAAUAAGCACCGGCUAACUUCGUG